rnacentral:rRNA from 1 species
AACGAACGCUGGCGGCAGGCCUAACACAUGCAAGUCGAACGCUGCAGCAAUGCAGAGUGGCAGCCGGGUGAGUAACGCGUGGGAACCUUCCCAAUGGUACGGAAUAGCCCAGGGAAACUUGGGGUAAUACCGUAUAAGCCCCAUGGGGGAAAGAUUUAUCGCCAUUGGAUGGGCCCGCGUCGGAUUAGCUAGUUGGUGAGGUAACGGCCCACCAAGGCGACGAUCCGUAGCUGGUUUGAGAGAAUGACCAGCCACACUGGGACUGAGACGCGGCCCAGACUCCUACGGGAGGCAGCAGUGGGGAAUCUUGGACAAUGGGCGAAAGCCUGAUCCAGCCAUGCCGCGUGAGUGACGAAGGCCUUAGGGUUGUGAAGCUCUUUUGGCGGGGACGAUAAUGACGGUACCCGCAGAAUAAGUCCCGGCUAACUUCGUGCCAGCCGCCGCGGUAA